rnacentral:rRNA from 1 species
UACGGAGGGUGCAAGCGUUAUCCGGAUUCACUGGGUUUAAAGGGUGCGUAGGAGGGCAGGGAAGUCCGGUGGUGAAAUCCUAGAGCUUAACUCUAGAACUGCCGUGGAUACUCUCUGUCUUGAAUCCCGUGGAGAUGAGCGGAAUAUGUCAUGUAGCGGUGAAAUGCUUAGAUAUGACAUAGAACACCAAUUGCGAAGGCAGCUCGUUACACGAAGAUUGACUCUGAGGCACGAAAGCGUGGGGAUCAAACAGG